UACGUAGGGUGCGAGCGUUAAUCGGAAUUACUGGGCGUAAAGGGCGCGUAGGCGGCAGAUCAAGUCAGCUGUGAAAUCUCCGAGCUUAACUCGAAACGGUCAGCUGAUACUGUUUUGCUAGAGUACAGAAGGGGCAAUCGGAAUUCUUGGUGUAGCGGUGAAAUGCGUAGAUAUCAAGAGGAACACCUGAGGUGAAGACGGGUUGCUGGGCUGAUACUGACGCUGAGGCGCGAAAGCUAGGGUAGCAAACGGG
rnacentral:rRNA from 1 species